rnacentral:rRNA from 1 species
UGGGGAAUAUUGCACAAUGGGGGAAACCCUGAUGCAGCGACGCCGCGUGAAGGAAGAAGUAUCUCGGUAUGUAAACUUCUAUCAGCAGGGAAGAAAGUGACGGUACCUGACUAAGAAGCCCCGGCUAAUUACGUGCCAGCAGCCGCGGUAAUACGUAAGGGGCAAGCGUUAUCCGGAUUUACUGGGUGUAAAGGGAGCGUAGACGGAGAGGCAAGUCUGAUGUGAAAGGCAUGGGCUCAACCUGUGGACUGCAUUGGAAACUGUUUUUCUAGAGUGCCGGAGAGGCAGGCGGAAUUCCUAGUGUAGCGGUGAAAUGCGUAGAUAUUAGGAGGAACACCAGUGGCGAAGGCGGCCUGCUGGACGGUAACUGACGUUGAGGCUCGAAAGCGUGGGGAGCAAACAGGAUUAGAUACC